rnacentral:rRNA from 1 species
CCUACGGGCGGCAGCAGUGAGGAAUAUUGGUCAAUGGCCGGAAGGCUGAACCAGCCAUGCCGCGUGAAGGUCAGUGCCCUAUGGGCGUUAAACUUCUUUUGUGCGGGAGCUAUAAUGGUCACGUGUGGCCAGACGAGAGUACCGUACGAAUAAGCAUCGGCUAACUCCUGGCCAGCAGCCGCGUUAAUACGGGGGAUGCUAGCGUUAUCCGGAUUUAUUGGGUCUAAAGGGUGCGUAGGCUGUGAGGUAAGUCAGCGAUGAAAUGCCCCCGCUCAACGGUGUGAAGUGCCAUGGAUACUGUCUUGCUGGAAUGCGGAUGCCGUGGGAGGAAUGUGUAGUGUAGCGGUGAAAUGCAUAGAUAGCA